rnacentral:rRNA from 1 species
CUACGGGACGCAGCAGUUUCGAAUAAUUCACAAUGGGCGCAAGCCUGAUGAUGCGACGUUACGUGAAGGAAGAAAGCUUUAAGUUGUAAACUUCUGUCGUUAAGGAACAAAAAAUUAAGUAGUACUUUUUAUAUUGAGUUAACUUAAAAAGGAAGCAGUGGCUAAUUUCGUGCCAGCAGCCGCGGUAAUACGGGAACUGCAAGCGUUGCUCGGUUUUAUUGGGCGUAAAGAGUACGUAGGCUGUUAUAUAUGUUAAUUGUUAAAUUUUAAAGUUAAUCUUUAAAUUUGCUGUUAAAACUAUAUAACUAGAAUAUCAAAGAGGUAAGUGGAAUUUCAAGUGUCGCGGUGAUAUGCGUAGAUAUUUGAAGGAACACCAAUGGCGAAAGCAACUUACUGGGUGAUAAUUGACGCUAAAGUACGAAAGUAUAGGGAGCAAAAGGGAUUAGAUACCCUAGUAGUC